rnacentral:rRNA from 1 species
CCUACGGGUGGCUGCAGUCGAGAAUCUUCGGCAAUGGACGCAAGUCUGACCGAGCGACGCCGCGUGCGGGAUGAAGGCCCUCGGGUUGUAAACCGCUGUCAGAGGGGAUGCAGAGCCUCAGAGGAAGCACGGGCUAAGUUCGUGCCAGCAGCCGCGGUAAUACGAACUGUGCGAACGUUAUUCGGAAUCACUGGGCUUAAAGGGUGCGUAGGCGGCUGCCUAAGUCAGGUGUGAAAUCUCUCGGCUCAACCGGGAAACUGCGCUUGAUACUGGGCGGCUCGAGUGAGGUAGGGGUGUGUGGAACUUCCGGUGGAGCGGUGAAAUGUGUAGAUAUCGGAAGGAACGCCAGCAGCGAAAGCGGCACACUGGCCUUUCUGACGCUGAGGCACGAAAGCCAGGGGAGCGAACGGGAUUAGAUACCCUAGUAGUC